UACAGAGACCUCAAGCGUUAUCCGGAAUCAUUGGGCGUAAAGCGUGCGCAGGCGGUUAUGCAAGACAGAUGUGAAAUCCCCGGGCUCAACCUGGGAACUGCAUUUGUGACUGCAUAGCUAGAGUACGGUAGAGGGGGAUGGAAUUCCGCGUGUAGCAGUGAAAUGCGUAGAUAUGCGGAGGAACACCGAUGGCGAAGGCAAUCCCCUGGACCUGUACUGACGCUCAUGCACGAAAGCGUGGGGAGCAAACAGG
rnacentral:rRNA from 1 species